rnacentral:lncRNA from 1 species
CGACAAGUUUUAAAUCUUAAUGCAGGCAAGGAAACAUCGUUUUUCAAUUAUUACUUGCUGGGUCGGAGCGUAGACGAGCGAGCAGAGCCAAGGAAAGAGGGAAGCCCGUCAUAGAGCAGUCGACUAGAAGUAGAAGACUGCUGGCCUGAGAGAAGGCGGCCUCUCUCGGGAAAGAUGGCCCAAUUUCUCUUCUUUCUUUUUGAUUUCAGCUUUCUUUUUUUUUGCCUAACUAGGCUUUCUUAUAUCUUUAUAGAUCGGUGUAUGACAAAGAUAUAUAUGGUCUAACAGCUCCC